rnacentral:lncRNA from 1 species
AUACUUCCACCAGAACCUGACUCUGUGAAGGGAAUGGAGAGACAGAAAGGCCAUAGCGAGAGUGGCCACGAGAGCACUGCUAGGGCAAAGGGCCCUGGGUUUUUCUAGUCCUCACUGCCACAGAGUCCGAGUGGGAGGCCUCAGGCAAGUCAGAAGUCACUUUUCCUCCACGGGACUCACUCCUUUUAUCUGUGAAAUGCGGAGAUGGCAAGCAGCUCCAUACUCCACGGCUGAGGACGAGCUAGGGUCCCGCACAGACUCAUCGAGGGCCCUGCCAGCACCCCUACGCCUCUGCCCACAGGACCUCCACCUCCCACAGGACUUUCCGAAAGCUCUGACUACCAACCACCAAGCGCCCGGCCCCCACGCUCGCCCCCGGCAGGCGGCGCGUCCCCCCCAGGCCUUCGCACCCACCGCGUGGGCUCCUGCCCUGGCCUCACCUGCCCCCGACACUCCCCGUCCCCGCGAUGCCCAACUCCGGCCCGAGAAGGCUGGCCGCGACCUCGCCCGGUACCCGCCGCCCCGACACCACCAUUCGCCUCCUCGACCUCCCCCGGCGCCGCUGCCCACCCGCCCCUCGCCCCGCUCACCGGGGCCGCUCACUGGCCGCCGCCGCGCCGCCUCCUCCGCGGCCUCCCUCGCGGCCGGACCAGCCCCAGGGACCGCGGGGGACCCGGCCGCCGCUGUCGCCGCCGCCGCCUCGCCUCAGCCCAGCCCCAUCGCCCUCGGCCGGCGCCGCGCGCUGCGGCUCAGGGUGAGGGAAGGAGGCGCCGCGGCGGGGCCGGGCCGGCCCUGGGACGUCCGCGCUCUCCUCCUCCUCCGCGCCCGCGGCGGCGGCGUGCAGCCGGCAGGGCGAGAACAAGGGAGGGCGGCGGGAGGUGGGCAGGGGAGGGGGGCGGUCUGCACUCCGAAACGGCCCCCCCGCCGCCAGCGACGUAGAGAACCCCCCUCCCCUCCGCGGCGGCGCCCGAUCACGCUGCGGGGAGAGCCGGCAGGCAGGCGGGGGAGCGCGCGCGGGCUCAGGACUCCCGCGCCGGAUGUGAGGUCACGUGGUGGCUUCAUCCCCGCGCGGAGGGCGGAGGGGCGCGGGCGACGUCAGGAGGCGGGGAAGGGGCGGGGAGGGGCGGGGCGAUUUAUAGGCCCCGCCCACCCAUCGCCUUUGCCACCCUCGAACGGGCAAAAGAAAGAAAGAGGCAGCCACCCUCGCCCCCGCCAAAACAAACAGACAAAAAACUGUCAUUCUCAUAUGACCACGGACUCUGCGCCCCGGCCGCAGGCGGAGGACAGGGAGGAGCGCACACGAGAAAGCUCCCACGCGCCCGCGCCUCGCCUCCGACGGGAAGGCGCCUCUUCCGACCGUCCUGGAUGCAAAUUAAAUACUUCCCUCCGCAGAAGACUUAUCUCGGGGUAGGGCCGCAGCCGGAUUUCCAAAUCGCGGGUUUGAUUUUCGCUGCGUCCUCUCCGCGACGCGCGCAGGGAGCGCGCCCGGCCACCUGCAGCCUCUGGCUGCGGCCAUCUUUCCGCCUGGGGCCACCUGGCCUGCGCCCUUUGUGCCCGGCCCGCUCCGUGACUGUUCUUCUUGCCGCUACUUACAGAACUCAGCCGCCUUAGCGUCUUAGAGAAGAGGACGGCAUGCAUGCGGACCCCGUCCACCACACCUGGAGAGCAGGGAGCCCUUAGUCCCUGGACACUUACCAGGGCCGCCACCCCUGGUCCACGCACGUGAUGACAUCUCACCAGGGGCAGCACACCGCCCGAGUCCGCGACACUGAUAACACCUCCUGCGGGCAGGAGGGCGCCACAGCCACCCCUGGUCCCCUAGAUUGUGUGAGGCUAGCAUUUCUGCCCGCCUCUUGGCGUGGACAGCACGCUGGACCGAGAUGGAACCACAGCUUUCUCUUCCCAAUCCCUGGCCUCACCGUUUUGUUUCAUACCUCACCGUUUGUUUCAAACCUCGUGGUGUUGAAAUGAUUAAAUGAGAUUAAGGGGCAUUCCUCAGGCCUUAUCUCUCUGGUUCUUUCUGCUACAUUUGACACCUUGGGAUGACUCUCACCUUCUGGAAUCUCUCUACUACCUUGGUUUCAGAAGAGUGAACCCUCUGGAUUAUCACAUGAAGCUACUUCCUGUGAGCAGCCCAGGGAUGGCCAGUCACUUGUGACCUACUUUCAGAGCUGGCAGUUCUGACUUCUAGAACAAACUCGGAACAAGCCCAUCUACAGCUGGUUGACUGAGUUUCCUUUGGGCUCCUGGCACCAGAAAGAAUUGCUCACUGGAAGGAUCAUAGGUGGCACUCAUGUCUCACUGCCCCACUCAGGCAACAUCAUGCACGCGGAUGAUCAACAGUCAGUUCCUGGUCAACAUAAGUAAACAAGCCUGUUUAAGAUAAAUUCCCCCACACUCCCUUGUACCUACUCCUUGCCCUCUGCCCCAGGGUUAUAGAACAGCUGCUUUCUGCUAUUCUCCCCCCAGGCUCUGCAGAACCUUCUGACCUUUCAGAAGGUUUGCAUCCUUUCCCUAUAGUUUUUCCACCGCUCUGACCAGUCCCCCACAAUAUAUAGCCUUGUAUGCAAAGCCAGGCCUGUCCAUGCAGGGUGACCAUCCAAGGUAGACAGUGGCAAAAUCUGGUGGAGGCAUCAGAGAUAGUGCCAUCAGUUUGCUGGAACAAGCAUAUCAAGGAGCCUGGCAGAUCUACACUUCACCAGACGGUGCCUGUAGCCAACAGGGCAGGCCCUUGCUCCAGGGAAACACUCAGAAAUCAAAACUCCUUGCUCUGCUGCCAGGGAACUCUCCAGGAGAUCCUCAGUGUCAUCAGAAGCUGAAAAAAACAGUGCUGAGAAACGUGGCCUGCCGUCUUUCCAGCUAAGGGAGAUGGCCCAUUCGACCCUGGGUUGUCCUCUGCAAACGCGCUGCUGCAGGUUGCAUGGCACCAUCUCCUGAUUGCAAUUUGCUUUCCUGAGGGAGUGAACUGACUGAAAUUGGAUGGUAAUAAGUUGCUAGGUUAUUUUCCACUUUUUAGUUUAUGAGGCUUAUUCAUUUUGCUUUAACAUUAACCACUGCCUUCCUUUUAAGGAGCUGGUGAGGCAGCGCAUGGCAACAGGUUCAGGGUGAGGAGUGGCACCACCUCCUUUCAGUGAGGAUUUGGGAAGGGUGAAAAGCACCCUAAUCUUCUCAGCCGCAUGUGAACAAACCACCUGUCAAGGUGGGUCCUUCCUAUAGGGAGGUUGAUGUCAGCCCUUCAGGGAGGUCUCAGUUUUCUUCCUCCACUUCCUAAUCCCUUCAUUAUAAUUCCUUCCACAACAGAAUAAGUUUCUUGAGCAAUGCAGCAAUAUCCAGCAAUUUUAGAUAGACAUUUACCUUUUGACCUAGAAAUCUCACUUCUACGAAUCCAUCCUAAAGACACACUUUCAGCUGGAUGUGGUCGCUCAUGCCUGCGAUCCUAACACUCUGGGAGGCUAAAGUGGAAGAAUCUCUUGGGCUCAGGAGCUCAAGACCAGCCUGGGCAACAUAGGAAGACCCUAUCUCUAAAAAAAAUAAAAAUAAAAACGGCACACAGUCAAAAAUUCAAAAAUUAAUAUACAUAAGGCUAUUUAUUACAGAAACAUUGGUAGUAGCAAAAGACUGGAAAUAACUCAAUGCCCAUCAAUAGGGAACGGAGUAAAUAAACUAAGAUACCUACACAUAAUGGAGUGCCAUGCAGCUUUGAAAGGAAAUGAGGCAUAUUUCUAUGUUAUAUGUUGUGAUCACCAGAAUAUAACCUAAUGAGUAAAAAGCCAGGUGAAGAAAAUUCUGAUAAUAUGCUAUCAUUGGAGAGGGGAAUAUGAAUAUACCAUACAUCACAUAGGAGGAGAGAGGAAAUAAAGUGAGAGGAUUGGGAUAGAAGCUAGACUUUUCUAAAUAUAUCUUGUUUUAUAGAUUUAUGUUGGAAGUUUGUGGAUAUAGUACUUUAGAAAAGUAUAAAACCAAAUUAGACUUGACAAAAUGAAACAAGUCAAUCUGUUGAGUUGAUGGUGUAACUACACAGUGAGAAACUAUUGCAAAUGACCUUAACACUCAGGAAUUCCACUGUAUAUUCCUAAUGGGAGAUCCCCUAAUGACCAAACUUAAACCCAGUCCAACCAAACCAAAAAACCUUGUAAAAUAUCUGAAACCAUUUUUAGUAAUGAAAUGAGAAAUGUGGUCGUGUUGGUGAUAUGGUUUGGCUGUGUCCCCACCCCGACAUCAUCUUGAAUUGUAACUCCCACAAUUCCCACAUGUCAUGAGAGGAACCCAGUGGGAGGUGAUUGAAUUAUGGGUGUGGGUCUUUCCUGCGCUGUUCCCAUGAUAGUGAAUGACAAGAUCUGAUGAUUUUAAAAACGGUUUCCCCGCACAACCUCCCUCUCUUGCCUGCCACCAUCUAUGUAAGAUGUGACUUGUUCCUCCUUGCCUUCCGCUGUGAUCGUGAGGCCUCCCCAGCCAUGUGGAACUGUAAGUCCAUUAAACCUCUUUUUCUUCCCAGUCUCGGGUAUGUCUUCAUCAGCAGCAUGAAAAUAAACUCAUACAGUAAAUUGGUACCAAUAAAGUGGGGUGCUGCUGAAAAGAUACCCAAAAAUGUGGAAGCGACUUUGGAACUGGGUUAUCAGGCAGAGGCUGGAACAGUUUGGAGGGCUCAGAAGAAGACAGGAAAAUGUGGGAAAGUUUGGAACUUCCUAGAGACUUGUUGAAUGGCUUUGACAAAAAUGCUGAUAGUGAUAUGAACAAUAAGGUCCAGGCUGAGGUGGUCUCAGAUGGAGAUGAGGAACUUGUUGGGAACUGGAACAAAGGUGACCCUUGUUAUGUUUUAGCAAAGAGACUGGUGGCAUUUUGCUCCUGCCUUAGAGAUUUGCAGAACUUUGAACUUGAGAGAGAUGAUUUAGAGUAUCUGGUGGAAGAAAUGUCUAAGCAACAAAGUAUUCAAGAGGUGACUUGGGCGUUCUUAAACACAUUCAGUUUUAUAAGGGAAGCAGAGCAUAAAAGUUCAGAAACUUGCAGCCUGACAAUGUAAUAGAAAAGAAAAUUCUAUUUUCUGAGGAGAAAUUCAAGCUGGCUGCAGAAAUUUGCAUAAGAAAUGGGGACCCAAAUAUUAAUCUCCAAGACAAUGGGGAAAAUGUCUCCAGGGCAUUUCAGAGGUCUUCAUGGCAGCCCCUCCCAUCACGGGACCAGAGGCCUAGGAGGAAAAAAAUGGUUUCUUGGGCCAGGCCCAGGGUCUCCGUGCUGUGUGCAGCCUAGGGACUUGGUGCCCUGCAUCCCAGCUACUCCAGCCAUGAUUAAAAGGGCCCAAGGUACAGCUCGGGCCGUGGCUGCAGAGGGUGCAAGCCUCAAGCCUUGGAAGCUUCUAUGUGGAAUUCAACCUGUGGGUGCACAGAAGUCAAGAACUGAGGCUUGGGAACCUCUGCCUAGAUUUCAGAGGAUGUAUGGAAACGCCUGGAUAUCCAGGAAGUUUGCUGCAGGGACAGGGCCCUCAUGGAGAACCUCUGCUGGGACAGUGUGGAAAGGAAAUGUGGAGUUGGAGUCCCCACACAGAGUCCCAACUGGGGCACCACCUAGUGGAGCUGUGAGAAGAGGGCCACUGUCCUCCAGACCCCAGAAUGGUAGAUCCACCGACAGCUUGCACAUGUGCCUGGAAAAUCGGCAGACACUCAACACCAGCCCAUGAAAGCAGCCAGAAGGGAGGGUGUACCCUGCAAAGCCACAGGGGCUGAGCUGCCCAAGACCAUGGGAACCCACUUCUUGCAUCAGCGUGACCCGGAUGCGAGACAUGGAGUCAAAGGAGAUCAUUUUGGAGAUUUAAGACUUAACUGCCCUGCUGGAUUUCUGAUUUGUAUGGGGACCAGAGCGCCUUUGUUUUGGCCAAUUUCUCCCAUUUGGAAUGGCUGUAUUUACCCGAUACCUGUACCCCCAUUGUAUCUGGGAAGUAACUAACUUGCUUUUGAUCUUACAAGCUCCUAGGCGAAAGGAAUGUGCCUUGUCUCAGAUGAGACUUUGGACUGUGGACUUUUGAGUUAAUGCUGAAAUGAGUUAAGACUUUGGGAGACUGUUGGGAAGGCAUGACUGGUUUUGAAACGUGAGAACAUGAGAUUUGGGAGGGGCCAGAGGCGGGAUGAUAUGGUUUGGCUGUGUCCCCACCGAAAUCUCAUUUUGAAUUGUAACUCCCACAACUCCUGUGUGUCAUUGGAGGAACCCAGUGGGAGGUGAUCGAAUUAUGGGGGCAGGUCUUUCCUGUGCGGUUCUCAUGAUGGUAAAUGAGUCUCACAAGAGCUGAUCGUUUUAAAAGUGGGAGUUUCCCUGUACAAGCUGUCUCUCUUGCCUGCUGCCAUUCAUGUAAGAUGUGACUUACUCCUCCUUGCCUUCCACAAUGAUUGUGAGGCCGUCCCAGCCAUGUGGGACUGGUCUUGCUGUGGUGCCCAGACUACCUGGGCUGCAGUGCAACGGUGCCAUCUCAGCUUACUGCAGCCUCAACCUCCCAGGCUCAAGAGAUCUUCCCAACUCCUGAAUAGCUGGGACUACAGGUUCGCGCUACCAUGCCCAGCUAAGUUUUCCAUUUUUUUGUAGAGACAGGGUCUCGCCAUGUUGCCCGGUCUAGUCUCAAACUCCUGGACUCAAGUGAUUCCCCUGCCUAGGCCACCCAAAGUGCUGGGAUGGAUUACAGGUGUGAGCCGCCAUGCCUGGCCAGAAGGUGAAUUUUGAAGUCAGGUCGACUCGGCUUCAGUUCUGGCUUAGCCACUCCAUAACUGUGUGACAAGAGACAAGUUCUAGCUCUGAAACCCAAUUUUCUCAGGAAAAUGGUGACAGUACACACCACCGUUCCGUUGUAUGAAUUAAAGGUAACAGUUGGGCAAUGCUUGGCAGAGCUCCUCGCACAUAGUAACCACCUUUACUUAUUGCUGGAGGGAAGGUUGUACACCCUUGGGCCUUUUCUCUUUUUGAAAUAGCUGGUAUGGAACUCAGGUGACAAGACUAGUGGAGGCAGGAAGAGGGACCCAGGAAUUCUAUCUUCCUAUGGCUAAAAGGGGAAAAAGAAGCUUCCCCGCCUGGAAUACUUCCUGAAUCUUGCCCCUCCUCCCCAUUUUUCAGGGCUCUUUUCUAGUUCUGCCUCCAGGCAAAAUUAGUACCUCCUCUUUUUGCCUCAGCUUUUCCACAAGUCUAUUUGAACACAUCCUUUGACCCCUUUUAUUGGUGUGAUUUGAACCAGGCACAGUGGCUCAGGCCUGUAAUCCCAGCACUUUGGGAGGCCAAGGCGGGAGGAUCACUCGAGUCCAGGAGUUGGCGACCAGUCUGGGCGACAUAGCAAGACCCUGCCUCUGUUUUAAAAACUUUUUUUUUUUUUGAGACAGAGUCUUGCUCUGUCACCCAGGCUGGAGUGACGUGGCGCAAACUCGGCUCACUGCAAGCUCCACCUCCUGGGUUCAAGCGAUUCUCCUAUCUCAGCCUCCCGAGUAUCUGGAAUUACAGGUGCAUGCGACCAUGCCCGGCUGAUUUUUGUAUUUUUAGUAGAGACGGGGUUUCACCACGUUGGCCAGGCUGGUCUCAAACUCCUGACCUCAGGUGAUCUGCCAGCCUUGGCCUCCCAAAGCGCUGGGAUUACAGGCAUGAGCCACCGCACCCAGCCUUGAAAAAACAAUUUUUUUAAGUAAUUAAAUAUUAGUGUGAUUUUUUUUCUGUUCUUCCUCCACUGUUCCCCAAGCUAUAAACUUCCCUACAGGGCAAGAGUCUUCAAGAUCUUUCUUUCUACCCAGGUGCCCAGAACAGUGUCUGGCACAUUGUAGGCGCUCAAAAAAAUGCUUACUGCCUCGGAAACCUGACCAGAAAAGGCCAACUGUAUGUGGGGUGGGGAAGGGAAUGAGAAGGGUUAACCUUUCUCCUCCACCUUCAGCUCUGUGUCAGAUGAUAUACAAGUGGAGACUGAAUCCCGUAGAUUUAUAGUGUGUUUUAUGAUGAUAUAAACAGAGCUUUUUUGUUAUUAUUAAUCAUCCCAUUUAUGCAUUUCAAAAAUCCACAAAAAUUCAUCAUUAAAAUUUGUUUCAUACCUUCUCAUCCUUUCUCUCAAUAACGUAGCAGUGUUAGAAUUUUGUCUCAAUUCGUCAUGGCCUUCAGGUAGCACUUGUCUGCUGGACACAGAGGGACAGGAAUUCUCAACCUGAAGACUGCAAGUUUCAGCCACCUAUGAAGUUUCAGCAUCCUGAUGUUGCAAAAUGGUACAUAUACAUGUGUACCUAUAUACAUUUUUUUUUGAGACAGAGUCUUGCUCUGCUACCCAGGCUGGAGUGCAGUGGCAUGAUCUCAGCUCACUGCAACCUCCACCUCCCAGGUUCAAGCGAUUCUCCUAUGUCAGCCUCCUGAGUAGAUGGGAUUACAGGUGUGUGCCACCACACCCGGCUAAUUUUUUAUAUUUUUGGCAGAGAUGGGGUUUCACCACGUUGGCAGGCUGGUCUCAAACUCCUGACCUCAAGUGAUCUGCCUGCCUUGGCCUCCCAAAGUGUUGGGAUUACAGGCAUGAGCCACCACCCCUGGCCCAUAUAUGCAUUUUUGGAUAGGGUGAUGGUCUGUGAUUUUUCAGUCAGAUGCUCUCAUGGGUUCCUGACCUAACAAAGGAGAAUGACUACAUUCAAUAGAAGAGGUGCAAAAUAAUGAGAAACACUAAGUGUUCACUGAGAACUCUUUCUUUUCUUUUUCUUUUUCUUUUUUUUUUUUUUUUUUUGAGACGGAAUCUCACUCUGUCACCCAGGCUGGAGUGCAGUGGCGCGAUCUCAGCUCACCACAACCUCCGCCUCCCAGGUUCAAACAAUUCUCCUGCCUCAGCCUCCCGAGUAGCUGGGAUUACAGGCAUGCACCACCACGCCUGGCUAACUUUUGUUUUUUUAGUAGAGAUGGAGUUUCUCCAUGUUGGUCAGGCCAGUCUGAAACUCCUGACCUCAGGUGAUCCACCUGCCUCGGCCUCCCAAAGUGCUGGGAUUAUAGGCGUGAACCACUGUGCCUGGCCUAGUGUACCCAUUCUUUAAGGCCCCACUCCUGUCCCUUCUCCCUACCACUGUCCCUGCCUCUUACCCAACCAGUUGUCUUUCUCUCUUGUAAACUCCAACAUUUCACAUUUAUCUCUUGUUAUAUGUGGCUAGUAACCAUUGAUCACCUUCCUUAUGUUUGCUCAUGUUUUACCUUCCCAGCUAGUCUGUAUGCUUCUCGAAGGCUAGGCUCAUAUUGCACAUCAUUGUAUCUUCUUUGCCCUCUGGAAGGCUAGGAUCAUAUUGCGCAUCAUUGUAUCUUCUUUGCCCUCUGGAAGGCUAGGAUCAUAUUGCGCAUCAUUGUAUCUUCUUUGCCCCCGGAGCAUGGCCUGCCUAGAGGGGAUAUUUGGUCAUUUCUUUUUCAUUGAUUGGUUUUAUAACCACCAUAAUGUUUGAACUCCUUAAUGUGGCCUACAUGGAUUGGUCUUUGCCACCCUAUUUGGCCUCAUUUGUGUCUCCUCCCCCUUUACAUUUUAUACCUAGCCAUCCUCAAUACCAGCCAGUUCCUUAGAAAUUCCAUGGGC